rnacentral:rRNA from 1 species
AUUCUUUAUCUUAUGAUCACAUUUAUUUUCAUUAAAUAUAAUGAAAAUAAAAUGUUCAUUGUUUUAACAGAUACAAAAAUAUUAUAAGGAGUGUUUAAUAGUGAGAUUAACACAAGGAACUUUUUCUUUCCUUCCAGACUUAACAGAUGAUCAAAUUACUAAACAGAUUGAGUAUGCUAUUGCACAAAAGUGGUCUGUUAGUAUUGAAUAUACAGAAGACCCGCACCCACGUAAUAAUUAUUGGGAAUUAUGGGGAUUACCAUUGUUUGAUAUAAAAGAUCCUGCAACGGUAUUAUUUGAAAUAAACAGUUGUCGUAAGCAGCAUCCAAAUUUAUAUAUUAAACUUAAUGCAUUUGAUAAUACUAGAGGUACAGAGAGCUGUGUGCUAUCGUUUAUUGUUAAUAGACCAGCUUAUGAACCAGGUUUUGAACUAGUUAGAACAGAAGAUGAUAGUAGAAGCCAAAGAUAUAGUUUCCGCAGUUAUGCGACAGCUAAACCAGAAGGUUCUAGAUACUAA